UAGAGGGGGGCAAGGUGGACAGAAAUAAGAGAGGAGAAGGAGAGAAGCGCCCAGGGAGCGGGGAACCCCUGGGCACAGGAGGGCAGGGAGGAGGAGGAAGGAGUGAGUGGGCAGCAGACCCAGGGGGUAGAAACGCCUGACUCACCGCUCAACAGAAAUCAGGACAGGCCAGAGACAUGGGGGGAGCCUGGUGAGGAGUGUCCGGUCGCCCCUGCUGCUGGCCGGGGUUGGAAGCCUGGAGGGGACGAGUGAGCUAAUAACCGCCCUCUCUUGAGGUUCUAUCACACGGUUGACAUUUUGCAAGGUGGCCUUGGUGCUCGGGACACCUGCGCUCUGGAAAGCAACCACCACCGUGUCCCUAAGUCGGGGCGGGGCCCCCCAAGGAGCCCAUCUCCUGGGGCGGGAAGUGAGAAGGGACCAUCCUCGGGCAGUUAGGGCCCUAGCCGGGCUCCGCCUGGGGCCCAGACCUCUGGAUUUCUCAUCCAAUAAUGGAAAUAUGGAGAUGAAAUAAAGGGGAAGAGAUUAUAUUGGGGAAAGUGGACCAGGAAAAUACAAACUUCGAAGACCAGAUGGAAACCCCUCAGCCGAGGAAUUCUUGGACUCAGUUUCUAAGGCAGCUCUGCGUGUCCUCCCCGCGGUGACACUGACCCUGGCAUUUUCUCUGUCUCUUUCAGGACCUCCUGUAAGUAACUCCGGCCGCAGCCCAGGCUCACACCUCUGAAAGGCCUUGCUCCCUGCUGGUAACCGGGCCCCGGGUGGGGGUCUUCCGGGGGAGCCCCUGUACUCUCUGCAGAAGUUCUGCGGGGUCCCUCCAGGAUGUUGACACAGGGGAGGAGACUUCCAUUUUGCUUUCCAACCACCUCUGUGCCUCUCCUCUCUUGGAAGGGGACAAGACAAUGACUAAUGACUGCCCCCGGGGCACAGCAGGUCCCAAUUUCAAUCUGAAAGGCUGGCUUGCCCCAUUGUCAGGCAGCUCCUGUGUCCCCAGAGGAAGCAACUGGACUCACAGAAGCUCCAGGGUCCCGCUGGAAGACCUGGCCUCCCAGUAAGUAGCUUUCAUUUCUUCCUUCCUUCGUGUCUCUCUUGUCUGCUCUCCUCAACCCCAGGGCUGGCUAGGUUGGGUGGCUGCUUUCCUUCAGGCGUGUCUGGGUGAAAGGCCUCGCUCUAGCACCUCUAACCUCCAGCUGAGAGGGAAGCUCCUGGGUAGCCCCUCUGGGGCCCCAGGCAGGCAGAUGACAGCACACAGGCCCUUCCAAGGCUGGACCUGACCUCUAGACUGAAGGUCCUCUAAGGGGGGGCUGGAAGGGGAGGCAGCCCACUGACCUUCACUGGCUAUCCUCCUACCUACCAGCUUAGCCUAAGACCACUGUCCUUCCUUUGUCCUAUGACAUCUGGUAAGAAGAGACACAAAAACUUUGUCAUCCCCCCAACCACCCGGCCUAGUUACCAUUUCUGGAUGCUAGAGAGGCUGAGUCCAGUAACCAUGGAGACUUUGGAUUGAAAGUAGAAGUAAUACUAAUAGACUAAGAGCCACCUCUUAUUGCAACCCUACGAUAGGCCAGGCACUAUGCUAAUCGCUCUUCAUAUAUUUGAUUUGUUUGACGACUCAGUGAAAUGGCUAUUAUCAUACCCAUUUUAUGGAUGAGGACACUGAGGCCCACAGAGGUAAAAUACCUUGUCCAAUUGUCCAAGCUUCAGUUUAGACCUAUGGAGGGGCCCAUGCUGUCACACACAUUUCGUACCUCUGUUUCCUGUGGUCCGUGCUUGACACCUGAGAACAG
rnacentral:lncRNA from 1 species